UCCUAGCAAUCCCUUUUGAGCACACGCGAGGUUGUUGUAAUCAUGGAAGAGUUUAGAAGGGCUUAUGAUAGCAUGAAUUGUUUCAAAUUUAUGGCUUUAGUUUCUGGUGUUGAAACUCUGAAGUUACCUAUAUGAUCUACCAGUAUAUCCAGUUUUAACUUGGUAUCAUUUGUUAACAACAUUCCUUUUUUAGUGGGGUUUGUUUAAGCCUACUAUGGGCAUGAAGCUGGCAGUUCAACUUGAAAAAGAAGCAGCUAAUGAAAACUUAAUUUCUUCUAUGUCGUUCCACUUCUUACUUAGUUGUCAUUUGGAUUAUGUANAUUGUGUUGAUAUACUCUUGUUAUAGAGUAGCUAUAUUUUUCCCUCUUUGUUGUUUUGACUACUUAGGUCAGAGUCUUUGGAGGUAUUUUGGAUUAGGAUAUGUCCAAGUAUCAACGGUCUAUUUCCAAUUAUGGAUGUGAUUGUCAGAUAUUUUCUAGGAAUAUGGAUGUAUAUUUAAUUCAGUUUUAUUCUUGUAUUGAAUUAGAUAUUUGUUAACAUGGUCCUUUAAUUCUUAUAUAAUUAUUAUGAAUGAUUAUUGCUUUA